rnacentral:rRNA from 2 species
CUGGUGUCAGCCGCCGCGGUAAUACCAGCACCCCGAGUGGUCGGGACGUUUAUUGGGCCUAAAGCAUCCGUAGCCGGUUCCACAAGUCUUCCGUUAAAUCCACCUGCUUAACAGAUGGGCUGCGGAAGAUACUAUAGAGCUAGGAGGCGGGAGAGGCAAGCGGUACUCGAUGGGUAGGGGUAAAAUCCGUUGAUCCAUUGAAGACCACCAGUGGCGAAGGCGGCUUGCCAGAACGCGCUCGACGGUGAGGGAUGAAAGCUGGGGGAGCAAACCGGAUUAGAUACCCGGGUAGUCCCAGCUGUAAACGAUGCAGACUCGGUGAUGAGUUGGCUUAUUGCUAACUCAGUGCCGCAGGGAAGCCGUUAAGUUUGCCGCCUGGGGAGUACGGUCGCAAGACUGAAACUUAAAG